rnacentral:rRNA from 1 species
GAUCAUGGCUCAGGAUGAACGCUGACAGAAUGCUUAACACAUGCAAGUCUACUUGAACUUCGGUUUGGGUGGCGGACGGGCGAGUAACGCGUAAAGAACUUGCCUUACAGUUAGGGACAACAUUUGGAAACGAAUGCUAAUACCUGAUAUUAUGAUUUUAGGGCAUCCUAAGAUUAUGAAAGCUAUAUGCGCUGUGAGAGAGCUUUGCGUCCCAUUAGCUAGUUGGAGAGGUAACGG